GCUGUGGUGGCCUUGUGGUUGUGGUUAGGCGUUGGACUUGAAAUCCAAUGGGCUAUAACCGCGCAGGUUCAAAUCCUGCCCGCAGCG